GGCCAGGGAAGCCCAGUUUCAGCUGCUGAUGCAUGGAGUUGGAAGAUUUAAGGAAUCAGUUCCUGUUUCUCUGGUUCUGGCCGACCCUAGAAUCAACUCCCUUGAUUGGAAAUAAACAGGAUUUUCCUUUCUGUCCCCAGGAAUGUGACGGAGGAAGGACUCUAGGGGAAAAGGCCUCGUCUGCCAAAGAAUAAUAAUAAUAACAAAGAUGACAGUAGGAAUAAAAUAUCGCCCUCUUCAUGGAGGGCAAUAAGGAAGUAUCCCGUUAUAUGUGUUGAGCCUUCUCACUCUCCAUAUACAUAUGUUAGAACUUCAGAAUGUAGCUCAGGUUUGAUUUGAACUUUCUGUCCUGUGGCUGUCUUGAGUGUACUGAACAAAUUGGGCUACAUGUCUCACCUUUGGUUUCAGAAAAUAGGACCCCAAUUACAGCACUUCGUGUUGACAUAGUACCUUAAAUGCCUGAGUAUGAACCUCUUUCCUGGAGGGUGUGUCUGUGUCAUGAGUGCCCCCAGUGCCCGGCAUGGGGCCUAGCCUUUGGAAACUGGGGCAGAGGGGCUGUGAUAAUAAAUGGGUGAGGCAGGGAGUCCUCCAGCUCCCUCUCUCUUGGCUGAGGAAUGGGAUGAACCCGGAUGACUGCAUGAACCUUCCCUUCCCCUUGGUGCUCCUGGGGCAGGGAAGGAAGAGCUUUAUGCAGGGAGAAACCCCAAGAAGACUCAGCCUCUCUGUUGAUUUCUGCAAACUCCUUGUGUUCUGAAGGAAUCAUUUGCCCACUUCUGGGCCAGCUGUAUAUGAGUUUGCUCUCUCCCCUCCCAAGGGGAGGUCCAUGUUACCUGAAGAAACUUACCUUUUGCUAUUUCUAUUAAAUUUCCCUUUUUCGUUAAGAAGGUGGUGAGGUAGAAGAAUGUCCCUGCCCUGCUCACUCUUCUGAUCUUCCUUGGUUCAGAGAUAUAGAUAAUUUUUCUCCUUCUCCUCUCCCUCCCGCUCCUUCUCCUUGUUCCUCUGUUCUGAAGACUGACUUCCCAAAGCUGAGGGGAGUAAGGAGAGGUGAAUCCAGUCUGUUCCUAGAGGAGCCCUCCUCCACUACGUUAAACAGACUUUUACUCUGCUGAAUAACUUUCAAUAGCUCCCUAUUGUCAUCAGUUUACAUUUCUAACAUUAAAGCCCACUUUAACAUG
rnacentral:lncRNA from 1 species